GCGGCGAUGGCCGCGUCUCUCUCGGCCAUUAGCGCCCAACCGAAAAGGCCCUACACGCAAUAGUGUUGCUGGUUCGAAUCCAGUCCGCCGCU
rnacentral:tRNA from 1 species